rnacentral:rRNA from 1 species
UGGGGGAUAUUGCACAAUGGGCGAAAGCCUGAUGCAGCGACGCCGCGUGGGGGAUGAAGGCUUUCGGGUUGUAAACCUCUUUCGCUAUCGAACAAGGCCCGCUUAGGGUGGGUUGAGGGUAGGUGGAGAAGAAGCGCCGGCUAACUACGUGCCAGCAGCCGCGGUAAUACGUAGGGCGCGAGCGUUGUCCGGAAUUAUUGGGCGUAAAGGGCUGGUAGGCGGCUUGUUGCGCCUGCUGUGAAAACGCGGGGCUUAACUUCGCGCGUGGAGUGGGUACGGGCAGGCUUGAGUGUGGUAGGGGUGACUGGAAUUCCAGGUGUAGCGGUGGAAUGCGCAGAUAUCUGGAGGAACACCGAUGGCGAAGGCAGGUCACUGGGCCAUUACUGACGCUGAGGAGCGAAAGCAUGGGUAGCGAACAGG